UACGUAGGGGGCAAGCGUUGUCCGGAAUUAUUGGGCGUAAAGAGCUCGUAGGCGGUGUGUCGCGUCGGCCGUGAAAACUUGGGGCUUAACUCUGAGCGUGCGGUCGAUACGGGCAUCACUUGAGUUCGGCAGGGGAGACUGGAAUUCCUGGUGUAGCGGUGAAAUGCGCAGAUAUCAGGAGGAACACCGGUGGCGAAGGCGGGUCUCUGGGCCGAUACUGACGCUGAGGCGCGAAGGCGUGGGGAGCAAACGGG
rnacentral:rRNA from 1 species